rnacentral:rRNA from 1 species
UCGAGCGAACCCUUCGGGGUGGGCGGCGGACGGGUGAGUAACGCGUGGGUAACCUGCCCUGUACACACGGAUAACAUACCGAAAGGUAUGCUAAUACGAGAUAAUAUGUAAUGAUCGCAUGAUCGAUACAUCAAAGCUCCGGCGGUACAGGAUGGACCCGCGUCUGAUUAGCUAGUUGGUGAGGUAAUGGCUCACCAAGGCGACGAUCAGUAGCCGACCUGAGAGGGUGAUCGGCCACAUUGGAACUGAGACACGGUCCAAACUCC